rnacentral:tRNA from 1 species
GGAGAGAUGGCAGGGCGGUUGAAUGCAGCGGUCUUGAAAACCGCCAGGCGGCCUAGCCAUCUUGAGGGUUCAAAUUCCCCUCCCCGUCA